UACAGAGGUCCCGAGCGUUGUUCGGAUUCACUGGGCGUAAAGGGUGCGUAGGUGGCCUAAAAAGUUUGAUGUGAAAGCCCCGGGCUCAACCUGGGAAUGGCGAUGGAUACUGGCGCGCUAGAGUGCGGUAGAGGAGAGUGGAAUUCCCGGUGUAGCAGUGAAAUGCGUAGAGAUCGGGAGGAACAUCAGUUGCGAAGGCGGCUCUCUGGACCAGCACUGACACUGAGGCACGAAAGCGUGGGGAGCAAACAGG
rnacentral:rRNA from 1 species